UUUACCCUGCCUACGCUCGUGAUUAGAAACAAUGUCCUUGAACCGUAGUCAAUAAGUCGUGGGAUUCGAGUCGAGGUUGCCGCCGACAGGCCUUCACUGGAAGUCGAAAGCGCCUCACGAGGUCCCUAUCUGUUUCUAAGAAGUUCAAAGGAACUGUUACACACGGCACUGGCGGGGUUCUU
rnacentral:other from 1 species